rnacentral:rRNA from 1 species
UAGGGAAUCUUCCGCAAUGGACGCAAGUCUGACGGAGCAACGCCGCGUGAGUGAAGAAGGAUUUCGGUUCGUAAAACUCUGUUGUUAGAGAAGAACAGCGCAUAGAGUAACUGUUAUGCGUGUGACGGUAUCUAACCAGAAAGCCACGGCUAACUACGUGCCAGCAGCCGCGGUAAUACGUAGGUGGCAAGCGUUGUCCGGAUUUAUUGGGCGUAAAGCGAGCGCAGGCGGUCAAUUAAGUCUGAUGUGAAAGCCCCCGGCUCAACCGGGGAGGGUCAUUGGAAACUGGUUGACUUGAGUGCAGAAGAGGAGAGUGGAAUUCCAUGUGUAGCGGUGAAAUGCGCAGAGAUAUGGAGGAACACCAGUGGCGAAGGCGACUUUCUGAUCUGUAACUGACGCUGAUGUGCGAAAGCGUGGGGAUCAAACAGG